rnacentral:rRNA from 1 species
GUCCACGCCGUAAACGAUGGGUGCUAGACGUUGGCGGGCUUGCUCGUCAGUGUCGCAGCUAACGCGUUAAGCACCCCGCCUGGGGAGUACGGCCGCAAGGUUGAAACUCAAAGGAAUUGACGGGGGCCCCGCACAAGCGGUGGAGCAUGUGGUUCAAUUCGACGCAACGCGAAGAACCUUACCAGCCCUUGACUUGUGGCUCGCCGGUCCCGGAGACGGGACCUUCGGUUCGGCCGGAGCCAACACAGGUGCUGCAUGGCUGUCGU